rfam:Loktanella vestfoldensis SKA53 scf_1099451320118 genomic scaffold, whole genome shotgun sequence.
ACCCCGCCGGUGAUCGGGUUAUAUCACCACCCUCCCUGUUGGACUUGCCCGGGCCUUGUGCCCGGGCAUUUUU